rfam:Asian citrus Psyllid, Diaphorina citri - Florida Strain, whole genome shotgun sequence.
GUGAUGAGACCCUAUUCAAAUAUUUAUGGUUAGAACAUAUCUGACUAUCAUUGAUGAUAAACUAGGGCGGUCUGAGACU